UUUAAAGAGAGUUUGAUCCUGGCUCAGGACGAACGCUGGCGGCGUGCCUAAUACAUGCAAGUCGAACGAACGGAGGAAGAGCUUGCUCUUCCAAAGUUAGUGGCGGACGGGUGAGUAACACGUGGGCAACCUGCCUGUAAGUUGGGGAUAACUCCGGGAAACCGGGGCUAAUACCGAAUGAUAGAAUGUGGCGCAUGCCACGCUUUUGAAAGAUGGUUUCGGCUAUCGCUUACAGAUGGGCCCGCGGUGCAUUAGCUAGUUGGUAGGGUAAUGGCCUACCAAGGCAACGAUGCAUAGCCGACCUGAGAGGGUGAUCGGCCACACUGGGACUGAGACACGGCCCAGACUCCUACGGGAGGCAGCAGUAGGGAAUCUUCCGCAAUGGACGAAAGUCUGACGGAGCAACGCCGCGUGUAUGAAGAAGGUUUUCGGAUCGUAAAGUACUGUUGUUAGAGAAGAACAAGGAUAAGAGUAACUGCUUGUCCCUUGACGGUAUCUAACCAGAAAGCCACGGCUAACUACGUGCCAGCAGCCGCGGUAAUACGUAGGUGGCAAGCGUUGUCCGGAUUUAUUGGGCGUAAAGCGCGCGCAGGCGGUCUUUUAAGUCUGAUGUGAAAGCCCCCGGCUUAACCGGGGAGGGUCAUUGGAAACUGGAAGACUGGAGUGCAGAAGAGGAGAGUGGAAUUCCACGUGUAGCGGUGAAAUGCGUAGAUAUGUGGAGGAACACCAGUGGCGAAGGCGACUCUCUGGUCUGUAACUGACGCUGAG
rnacentral:rRNA from 1 species